UACAAAUAAAAAGAUAAAAUAAAAAUAAUACUAAAUCAUGUGCAUACUUCAUAAGUUCUAUCUUCAUUACUUUGCUUUCUCGUCUCCUAAAUUGAGACUUU
rnacentral:ribozyme from 12 species